CUGCCCGGCAUCCCAGGCAUCAUGGGACCAUCCUCGUGGGUGUGGUGGUGGGACCUUGCAUCCAUUUUCCUGGUGGCCGGCCAUG
rnacentral:pre_miRNA from 1 species